ACGGUUAGGCGAGGCGGGCGCGCAGUUUUGGGAUCGACGGUCGGGACGAGCAGGGGAGGAGGGGCGAGGGAGGUAGGAGAGGGUACAGCGGCGGGGAGAAGAGGGGCGAGCGGAGCCGGCGGAGGAGAGGAGGCGGCACAGCAGCCGGGGGAGGGAGGAGGAUGGAGGAGGAGGGAGGAGAGUCAGGAUACGGUCGGCGGCGGGUUUGGGCUCGGGGGCAAAGGGAGCUAGGGGCGUCAUUGGCGUAGGUGUCGGUGGGCGAGGAAGAGUGUCGGCAGCGUGGUAAGGAGGGAAGGCGGGGGAGGAGGAAGGGCCUAGGGGUGGUGCCACGGCUGGACGUCCGUUUCCCGCUACUUCUCACCGUCUGCUCCUGUUGCUCCCUCUCUUUCUUCCCUCUAUUUUUCCUCCGGCCGCCGCUCCGGGUAGUGGCGGUGGUCUAGGUGGAGCGUUAGAGAGAAUGAGGGGACAGACUGACAACGUACCAGCGCAGUCCGGGUACAGCCGCGGCGGCGGUGGCGACCUACCGAGACAGCCAGGGAGGGCGAGGUUUAGCUUUUGACUCUCUCGCUGCCCUCACUUCUUCCCCUAGCCCCCUCCCCUCUAGUACCCUCUCUUCCGCUCGAGCGCCGACUGACCUAAGUUAACGUACGAGACAACAAACACAAACCCUUCGUUUACAUGCACCCUCAACAGGAUAAGAUAGGGAGCUCCAUUUAAACGACCCGUUACCGAAUGAGGAGAGCACAAGACAAUCAAACUGCCUCCUUAAUGGUCGAGACGAAUGUUAAACCACACGGACAAUAAACCGUUUGAAAGUCUAGUAUCUUACGUAUGUUCACGACGUUACGUGUAUACGCAUACCCAUAAUAGAGCUACUAUUUCCUGGUGUUCUACCACGUCUGCUUGUACGAACGACGUCCUCUUCUUCUUGUUUAUAUUGGUACAUAAUUCCCCUCUUCCACGAAUAAAGGUAUCAUAUUUCCACAAAAGUACUAUAAGACACGAGGUUACCAGAACUUGAGAACUACCAUGGUUAAAAUAGAAAGACCUUCUUUACGUAAACUAGUUCUCAGAAAUGUCUUUAUCUUGAAGGUGUGAACGAUUAAGGGUUUGGUAACAUCUUUACCAUUGACUUACCCACAAGAAAAAAUAGUGGAGACUUAAAUUCCUUAUAUAAACGAUUAUAUAGUUACGAGUAACCACGGUACAGACCAAGAAUCCACGUACGGACCUUCGAAUUUAGACAUUAGUUCAAUACUUUAUCUCACGACAUUCUCUGUGAAGAUAUUCGUCUCCAACCAUACUACGACGCUCCGUACCCCAAACUGCUAUGUUGGAAGGAGAUGCAACAGAGGCCAUUUUAUAUGUUACGACGUUUUAUGUACCAGGGGGAAGCGGUCUACAAGGGAGAAAAUGUUUGGUUCCUGUGAGAACGUAACAGACUUCUCGAACGACUCAAACUCCCCAUGAGGAGAACCAAUCAUCGUAAUCUAAUGUGGCAGACACAAGUCUCGCUUCACAAACACUGCUGAGUUCCCCCUUGAAGGGAGUGAAAAACUACCCUGUGUCCGCAAUGGACAAUCCUCCCUUACGUUUCUGUUAUUUUGGGCUGUUUGCCUUCGACCAGAAUAGAAAACUGCUGGGUUUAUAGUCUACCUCAGCUAAGUUCGUGGUGUACGACCUUUAUGACGUGGUAUCACUGUAUUCCCCGUAGCGUAAGUCCUUUGGAUUACUAAGGUCUAUGUGGAAUGGUUACGGACUAACGUACACGGUUGUUCUACCUUGUACUAGAUCCGCAAUCGUAUGUAUUGACUCCCUACGUAUAGGAGACGGAAACACGUUGUUUCCGUGGUUUCCGUACCGUAACAACUGACGUACUAGUCCUAAACUACCAGUACUACUUUUGACCUCACUUUAUUUCGUAAACCACGAAGAGUUCUCUAAGACUUUGGGAGACCGUAUGGGGUUUGGCAAGCUAAGAACUAUAUUACCAGUUUUCCACGGAUUACUGUUACUUAAGGUAUCCUAGUCUUUAACUCUCCUACGUUCCCUAAAACAUUUCAAUCAUUAGACAUCCAUCAGGUGGUAUAUCGUUAGAGGUAAACAAGUUAGACAGACAUCCAACAUUUCUCUUUUCUCGAUGCCCUAACCCAACAUCUAUACUCAUGUUGGACUCACGGAGGCUACAUAUAAGCUUUUUGUUCCCGAUUCUUGUUGUUUCUCUCCUUUAAAAGUCAUAUAGUAAUGAGUAGU
rnacentral:rRNA from 1 species